CCGGGCCGGGGUGAUCACCUGUCGUGCGCUGGGGGCGCGCGUGGAGGCGUACGACCCGCUGGCCCGGCCC
rnacentral:tRNA from 1 species